AAGAGUUUGAUGGUGGCUCAUAUUGAACGCUGGCGGCAUGCCUUACACAUGCAAGUCGAACGGCAGCACGGGUGCUUGCACCUGGUGGCGAGUGGCGAACGGGUGAGUAAUACAUCGGAACAUGUCCUGUAGUGGGGGAUAGCCCGGCGAAAGCCGGAUUAAUACCGCAUACGAUCUACGGAUGAAAGCGGGGGACCUUCGGGCCUCGCGCUAUAGGGUUGGCCGAUGGCUGAUUAGCUAGUUGGUGGGGUAAAGGCCUACCAAGGCGACGAUCAGUAGCUGGUCUGAGAGGACGACCAGCCACACUGGGACUGAGACACGGCCCAGACUCCUACGGGAGGCAGCAGUGGGGAAUUUUGGACAAUGGGCGAAAGCCUGAUCCAGCAAUGCCGCGUGUGUGAAGAAGGCCUUCGGGUUGUAAAGCACUUUUGUCCGGAAAGAAAUCCUUGGCUCUAAUACAGUCGGGGGAUGACGGUACCGGAAGAAUAAGCACCGGCUAACUACGUGCCAGCAGCCGCGGUAAUACGUAGGGUGCGAGCGUUAAUCGGAAUUACUGGGCGUAAAGCGUGCGCAGGCGGUUUGCUAAGACCGAUGUGAAAUCCCCGGGCUCAACCUGGGAACUGCAUUGGUGACUGGCAGGCUAGAGUAUGGUAGAGGGGGGUAGAAUUCCACGUGUAGCAGUGAAAUGCGUAGAGAUGUGGAGGAAUACCGAUGGCGAAUGCAGCCCCCUGGGCCAAUACUGACGCUCAUGCACGAAUGCGUGGGGAACAAACAGGAUUAGAUACCCUGGUAGUUCCACGCCCUAAACGAUGUCCACUAGUUGUUGGGGAUUCAUUUCCUUAGUAACGUAGCUAACGCGUGAAGUUGACCGCCCUGGGGAGUACGGUCGCAAGAUUAAAACUCAAAGGAAUUGACGGGGACCCGCACAAGCGGUGGAUGAUGUGGAUUAAUUCGAUGCAACGCGAAAAACCUUACCUACCCUUGACAUGGUCGGAAUCCUGCUGAGAGGUGGGAGUGCUCGAAAGGGAACCGGCGCACAGGUGCUGCAUGGCUGUCGUCAGCUCGUGUCGUGAGAUGUUGGGUUAAGUCCCGCAACGAGCGCAACCCUUGUCCUUAGUUGCUACGCAAGAGCACUCUAAGGAGACUGCCGGUGACAAACCGGAGGAAGGUGGGGAUGACGUCAAGUCCUCAUGGCCCUUAUGGGUAGGGCUUCACACGUCAUACAAUGGUCGGAACAGAGGGUUGCCAACCCGCGAGGGGGAGCUAAUCCCAGAAAACCGAUCGUAGUCCGGAUUGCACUCUGCAACUCGAGUGCAUGAAGCUGGAAUCGCUAGUAAUCGCGGAUCAGCAUGCCGCGGUGAAUACGUUCCCGGGUCUUGUACACACCGCCCGUCACACCAUGGGAGUGGGUUUUACCAGAAGUGGCUAGUUUAACCGCAAGGAGGACGGUCACCACGGUAGGAUUCAUGACUGGGGUGAAGUCGUAACAAGGUA
rnacentral:rRNA from 1 species